rnacentral:rRNA from 1 species
CGGUAAUUCCAGCUCCAAUAGCGUAUAUUGAAGUUGCGGCGGUUAAAACAAACUCGUAGAUGGAUUUCUGCUGGGGACAACUGGUCUGCCUACUGGGUAAGCAUUUGUGUGUAUCACUCAUGCUCUUGGACAACACUUCUGCACUUGACUGUGUGGUGUGAUCUACAAUGUUGAUACAUUGAGGAAAUCAGAGUGCCUCCAGCAGGCACAUGUUUUGAAUACAUUAGCAUGCAAUAAUAAGAUGAAGCUUCGGUUUUAUUGUUAGUUUUAAAGUGAAGUAAUGAUUGACAUGGAUAGUUAGGGGCAUUUGUAUUCAACUGUCAGAGGUGAAAUUAUUGUAUUUGUUAAAGACAAACAAUUGCGAACGUAUGUGACAAGGAUGUGUUUUGAUCAAGAACGAAAGUUCGGGGAUCGAAGACGAUCAGGUACCGUCCUUGUCUUAACGAUAAACUAUGCCAACCAGAGGUUGGAUGUUGUUAUGUGUACGACUCAUUCAGCACUGCUUAUGAGAAAUCAGAGUCUUUGGGUUCCGGGGGGAGUAUGGUCGCAAGGCUGGAACUUAAAUGAAUUGGCGGAAGGCGCCACCAGGAGUGGAGCCUGCGGCUGAAUUUGACAACACGGGGGAACUUACCAGGUCCAGACAUAGUAAGGAUUGACGAUUGAUAGCACUUGCUUGAUUCCAUGGGUGGUGGUGCAUGGCCGUUCUUAGUUGGUGGAGUGAUUUGUCUGGUUAAUUCCGUUAACGAACGAGACCUUAACUUGCUAAAUAGUUACAUGUAACUCCUGGUUAUGUGGGCAACUUCUGAGAGGGGCUGUGUGUGUCUAUCACAAGGGCGUUUGAGGCAAUAACAUGUCUGUGAUGCCCUUAGAUGUUCUGGGCUGCACGCGCGCUACACUGAUGUGCUCAACAAGCAUUCACUUUGCUUGGCAAGGCAGGGCAAUCUUUAAACAUGCGUCGUGAUGGGGAAUGAUUAUUGCAAUUAUUAAUAUUGAGCGAUGCAGUCCUAGCAAACUCGAGUCAUCAGCUCGUGCUGAUUACGCCCCUGCCCUUUGUACACACCGCCCGUCGUUCCUACCGAUUGAAUGAUCCGGUGAAUAAUAUGGACUGCUAUAUCAUUCAGUUUGCUGGAAGAUGGUGUGGUAAAUCUUAUGAGCCUUAUCACUUAGAGGAAGGCGAAGUCGUAACAAGGUAGCCG